rnacentral:tRNA from 1 species
GCCUUCGUGGUGUAACGGUAGCAUACUCGGCGGGUAUUCCAGAGGUCCCGGUUCGAGUCCUGGCGAGGGCA